rnacentral:tmRNA from 1 species
GGGGACGCGCGGGUUCGACAGGGGCGUUCUGUAGCGGAUUGCAAGCCGAGGAUGCUAUCUCCCUCGUAAAUCCGGUAGCAAAAACAAUUGGCGAACGUGAAUUCGCUCUAGCUGCCUAAAGCGGCUUCGUCUACUCCCCGGUAUUCCCGGAGUCAGGGAGACUAGGCGCCAUAAAUCUGGGAUGCGGACCGCCCGAUGCCGGUAACGGCGGCUUAAGAAAAACUGGCUGUCCCCGUAGAGGUUUUGUUGGUGGUACCUUAAAGGGGCGAGGAACAAACAACCGAAUAAGCUUGUAGUAUAUCCGAUCUAUGGUCUCUUCUGGACGGGGAGUUCGACUCUCCCCCGUCUCCACCA